GAGGUCAGCCUGCCCACGAAAAUAACGAAUUUUUUACCCCACGAAACUUACCCGCUAUACGGUAUACACUGACUGGCAAAGCACUCUAAGUAAUAGUUAUUACAUGGCUAUGAGUGCCACAAGCUGUUUCUUGGCCCAGUAAGUAGAUUGUGAUCAAGGACCUUGACCCGGUAAGUAGAUUGUGGUAGAUUGUGGUAAAGGCCUGAGACUAUUAUCUACUUCAAGGGCUGCUUGUGGCACGAAUUGCCCUGUAAUAACUAAUUUGGAAAACCAUUUUCUGACAUAAGAAACCAGCAUAGAAACCACUUGCUGCAUAGAUGUGAAGUAGUGUUGUAGUUUUUGUUAUGUUUUUGGUGGAUUUACUUUUUAUUAAGGGUGCUGGAACACCUACGCCCACGUACGCCCACACACACGUUGCUAGGGAAAGCUAACUAUGAAACUACCUGCAGGGGAGACAUGGAUCCUUCACAGGAUUAUGAAGCAACACUCUACUAGUGUGCAUUCCAAAAAUGGAGAGGAAAGGAUGAUGACAACAGAUUUUACACUUGAUUUUCAUCAUAUAGCUAAAAGAAGUUCCGCUUAGGAAACCAGUAGAGCUAUGGACUUGAUUGUUUGUUUGCAGGUGCACUACACACAGCUCUUCAACAUUACGAAGAGCUUUUGUUGUAAAAUCCCUUUGUUAUCUAUUUAUGAGAAUUUUUUGUCAUGACACACCCUCUAGAGAAAAAUCUAGACCGUAUAUGGACAAAGUCAGCCCGUAACUUUGUUCACCUUACCUAAUUAUAGCAGCAUGCUAAAUAUAGACCAAGUCCUGUACGUAGAUAGUCAGAUCGAACACUUUUUAUAUCUGGCUCUAGCGUACGCGUACGCUAGAGUAUAAAUUAAGACGUAAGCCUGUAGACCACGCCCCAAUUGCGUGCGUAGAGUGCAGAAUUAGCGUUGAAGAUCAAGAGCCAUUUGUUAGUAGCCUGAAGAGAAGAGAUAGGCAACGCUGGGGCUACAGACAGCGCUGACAAUUGGCUGGCUCAUAGACUUCUGCCAGGGUUGGCUGCUGUUUUGAUGGACUUUGAAGAGCUUCCAUGAAAGCCUGUGUGUAAUACCACUCUUGGACCUCAGUGUCACCAGAGUGCUGUGCUCCAGGCCAAGUUGGACCAGUCUCUUUGUCUGGGCUGCAGUAAUGCUUGGCUUCCCCGGGCAUCAGAUUGGUGGAACCUCCGCUUUUGUGAGGUCCACACAGCUCCAUCUGCUUAUUAGCAGACCGAAUAGGGAGGUUGGGGAGGCAGCUGAUCAGUGAAUGGUGUGUCGUAACUGCCUCCAUCGCCAGGACAUCUGGAAAUGAGCUUCUGACCAUUCUGCUAACUUGGUGGCAAGGAUCUCCAGCUUCUGAAGGAUGCGAUGCCAUUGUGUGCUGGAACAUGGUGGAAGACCCAACCAGCCACUCAACCGGACGUAUCAACAUGCAGGUGGCCAUUGAGGAGAAAGGACAACACUGGAUUGUGCCAUGAACAGCUCGAAUCGUGGAUAGUACACGUCUAAAGCACUGAAGAGAAACGUCUCCACUCGACACAAAUGAAGACAGUGUGUAUUAACAUUAAAAGACAAUCCAACCUGCUGUGUGACUAAUGCUAGUUGAGGAACUCGGACACUCGUGCUGAUUGUACUGAGACUGGGGUCUAUUGGCACACUUACGUUUCUCCCAUCUACUACUGAAGGCACUCCUUUGCUACAAAUCUGGCUCUGUAUUUAUUGGAUUGUGUUAUUUUGUUAUAGUUUGUGUAGCUACCUGAUUUUCUUUUGCAGCUUGUAGUUAAUUUAAUUGAAGACAUUCUCACAAAACCACUAUGUUGUUACUUGUGGUUACUACUAUAUUAGCGCACGCAUUGAAAUUAAAUACUGCGUGUGCAAGUCUCAGGAUCUAAACGUUGCAUUUUUGUGGUUAAAUUAUGUCAAUUU